CCAUCGCCUGGUACUUGAUAAGUUGGUAGGGCUAGUGUUGCUAAGUUUGUGUUUCUUCUGUCCAUUUCCAAAGGCAAAUUAAAGGAUGACAGAGCAUACCUCUGAUGCUGACACUUGUCAUUUGAAAAAAAGGCAUUUUUGGAAGACAUUACCAACAUCUGUGGAUUAUAAUUCAAUGCAAGAGAAAAUCUAGAGUCAUUAAACUAAUGCAAACAUGAAUAAAUCAGUCUCGAGUAACUUAUUAUUGAGAAUCUGAUUUAUUUGCUUGGAUUGGUUUAGUUAACAUCACCCCAUACUGUCUGCACU